rnacentral:siRNA from 1 species
UAAGUAGUGUUUCCUUGUUA